rnacentral:rRNA from 1 species
AUUGAACGCUGGCGGCAGGCCUAACACAUGCAAGUCGAACGAGUGGCGGACGGGUGAGUAAUGUCUGGGAAACUGCCCGAUGGAGGGGGAUAACUACUGGAAACGGUAGCUAAUACCGCAUACCAUCGGAUGUACCCAGAUGGGAUGAGCGAGUGGGUGGGGUACCGGCUCACCUAGGCUACGAUCCCUAGCUGGUCUGAGAGGAUGACCCGCCACACUGGAAUGGAGACAAGGCCCAGCCUCCUACGGUAGGCAGCAUGGGGUAAUAUUGCACAAUGGGCGCAAGCCUGAUGCAGCCAUGCAGCGUGUAUGAAGAAGGCCUUCGGGUUGUAAAGUACUUUCAGCGAGGAUGCGUUACUCGCAGAAGAAGCACCGGCUAACUCCGUGCCAGCAGCCGCGGUAAUAC